GAACGCUAGCGACAGGCCUAACACAUGCAAGUCGAGGGGCAGCACAAGGAGCAAUCUGAGGUGGCGACCGGCGCACGGGUGAGUAACACGUAUGCAACCUGCCUGUAAGCGGGGAAUAACCCGUUGAAAGACGGACUAAUACCGCAUAAUACUAAAUUACUGCAUGGUAAUUUAUUUAAACAUUUAUGGCUUACAGAUGGGCAUGCGCAUGAUUAGCUAGUUGGAGAGGUAACGGCUCCCCAAGGCAACGAUCAUUAGGGGUUCUGAGAGGAAGGUCCCCACACUGGUACUGAGACACGGACCAGACUCCUACGGGAGGCAGCAGUGAGGAAUAUUGGUCAAUGGACGAGAGUCUGAACCAGCCAAGUCGCGUGCAGGAAGAAUGUCCUAAUGGAUUGUAAACUGCUUUUGCAGGGGAAUAAAGUGCAUCACGUGUGAUGUUUUGUAUGUACUCUGCGAAUAAGGAUCGGCUAACUCCGUGCCAGCAGCCGC
rnacentral:rRNA from 1 species